UGGGGAAUUUUGCGCAAUGGGCGAAAGCCUGACGCAGCAACGCCGCGUGAGUGAUGAAGGCCUUCGGGUCGUAAAGCUCUGUCAGAGGGGAAGAACCUCCUGUGGGUUAAUAUCCGGCAGGCCUGACGGUACCCUCAAAG
rnacentral:rRNA from 1 species